rnacentral:ncRNA from 1 species
UGGUUGAUCACGAGUUAGUCGGUCCUAAGUUCAAGGCGAAAGCCGAAAAUUUUCAAGUAAAGAAAAAUCUAAAUAUAUUUGUCAUCUAACCGAUUUUUAUACACUUGAAUAAUUUUGAACGAAAGGGAAUACGGUUCCAAUUCCGUAACCUGUUGAGUAUCCGUUUGUUAUUAAAUAUGGGCCUCGUGCUCAUCCUGGCAACAGGAACGACCAUAAAGAAGCCGUCGAGAGGUAUCGGAAGAGUUUUCUUUUCUGUUUUAUAGCCGUACUACCAUGGAAGUCUUUCGCAGAGAGAUAUGGUACAUGGGCUAGAAGACCAUGACAUAUACUGUUGUGUCGAUAUUUUCUCCUCGGACCUUGAAAAUUUAUGGUGGGGACACGCAAACUUCUCAACAGGCCGUACCAAUAUCCGCAGCUGGUCUCCAAGGUGAAGAGUCUCUAGUC